rnacentral:rRNA from 1 species
AGCAGCCGCGGUAAUUCCAGCUCCAAUAGCGUAUAUUAAAGUUGUUGCGGUUAAAAAGCUCGUAGUUGGAUCUCGGCGGGCAGGGGGUGGUUCGCUCUUCAGCGCUACUGCCCCGCUUUGCCCGUGUGAUUGGCGGAGGUUUCGGGGUGCUCUUCGUUGAGUGACUCGGAGCGCCGUCAGGUUUACUUUGAAAAAAUUAGAGUGCUCAAAGCAGGCUUUUCACGCUUGAAUAUUCGUGCAUGGAAUAAUAGAAUAGGAAGUUGUUUCUAUUUUGUUGGUUUUCGGAAAUCGACUUAAUGAUUAAUAGGGACAGUCGGGGGCAUUUGUAUUCAAACGACAGAGGUGAAAUUCUUGGACCGUUUGAAGACAAACUACUGCGAAAGCAUUUGCCAAGAAUGUUUUCAUUAAUCAAGAACGAAAGUUAGAGGUUCGAAGGCGAUUAGAUACCGCCCUAGUUCUAACCAUAAACGAUGCCAGCUAGCGAUCUGAGGACGUUUUUUUUGUAGACUCCUCAGGAAGCUUCCGGGAAACCAAAGCGUGUGGGUUCCGGGGGAAGUAUGGUUGCAAAGCUGAAACUUAAAGGAAUUGACGGAAGGGCACCACCAGGAGUGGAGCCUGCGGCUUAAUUUGACUCAACACGGGAAAUCUCACCAGGCCCGGACACUGGAAGGAUUGACAGAUUGAGAGCUCUUUCUCGAUUCGGUGGGUGGUGGUGCAUGGCCGUUCUUAGUUGGUGGAGUGAUUUGUCUGGUUAAUUCCGAUAACGAACGAGACUCUGUCCUGCUAAAUAGUUGGGUCGUCCUUCGUGCGAUCCAAGUUCUUCUUAGAGGGACUGGCUGCGUCUAGCAGCACGAGAUUGAGCAAUAACAGG